rnacentral:rRNA from 1 species
CUCCAGUAGCGUAUACUAAUGUUGCUGCAGUUAAAAAGCUCGUAGUUGGAUUUCUGGUUGAUAAUUGCGGUCCGACGGGUUAAUCCGGUUGAGUACAGCUUAUUAUCUACCAUCCUAUCAGUGUCAUGGUGUUUCGGCAUCAUGGUUCUGGUUCUUUUUACUUUGAAAAAAUUAGAGUGUUUAAAGCAAGCUUGCGCGAU